UAAAUUCAGCACUGGUGAUCACUCCCGUGGGUGACCUCAGCCCUUUACCAUUGGAGAGUGCUGCCGGCAGUAGGUGAUGAGGAUUCAAUGUGACUUUUAAAUGGUGAAACAAUUGUGAAAAUAAAUUUUGUACUUUCAUGCUUUACUCACGUCUCUCGCCUAUUCAUAUGAGAAUUGAACCUGUGUGGCCAAAUAGUCAUAUUUGAGCUAGUUCUAUUUCCUGGGGGAGAACUCUCCAGGUGGCGUAGUCGGAUUCGCUAUAGGUGAAGGAUUUAAAGUUACCAGCUAACAUCUGUAAGGUGUGUUUUGCUCCUCUUCCUCCAUGCCCUCACGCUACAUUCUGGCGUAGUCUGCAGGAUCUCGUUAUGGUUUAGUGCAGAGACGAGCUGGGGUUCCACGGGUGCAGGAGCUUGAGGUGGUGGUGUCACUUCAUCAUUUGCUGUGGACACGUUUGUGUGUGCAGUGAGUGUGUCG